rnacentral:rRNA from 1 species
GCUUUAUAUUUAAUAAUUAUUUCUAAUUUAGAUGAAUUUUAGUAAUAGUUAAUGAAAUAUUUUGUUGGGGUGACAGGAAGAUAAAAUAAACUCUUUUUAAGUUUAAACAUUAAUUUAUGAAUAAUUGAUCCAUUAUUAGUGAUUAUAAGACUAAGU